rnacentral:rRNA from 1 species
GACGAACGCUGGCGGCGUGCCUAAUACAUGCAAGUAGAACGCACAGUUUAUACCGUAGCUUGCUACACCAUAGACUGUGAGUUGCGAACGGGUGAGUAACGCGUAGGUAACCUGCCUGGUAGCGGGGGAUAACUAUUGGAAACGAUAGCUAAUACCGCAUAAUAUUAAUUAUUGCAUGAUAAUUGAUUGAAAGAUGCAACUGCAUCACUACCAGAUGGACCUGCGUUGUAUUAGCUAGUAGGUGAGGUAACGGCUCACCUAGGCGACGAUACAUAGCCGACCUGAGAGGGUGAUCGGCCACACUGGGACUGAGACACGGCCCAGACUCCUACGGGAGGCAGCAGUAGGGAAUCUUCGGCAAUGGACGAAAGUCUGACCGAGCAACGCCGCGUGAGUGAAGAAGGUUUUCGGAUCGUAAAGCUCUGUUGUAAGAGAAGAACGGGUGUGAGAGUGGAAAGUUCACACUGUGACGGUAUCUUACCAGAAAGGGACGGCCAACUACGUG